UACAGAGGUCUCAAGCGUUGUUCGGAUUCAUUGGGCGUAAAGGGGUGUGUAGGUGGCGCGCUAAGUCGGGUGUGAAAUUUCGGAGCUUAACUCCGAAACUGCAUUCGAUACUGGCGGGCUUGAAUCCGGGAGAGGGAUGCGGAAUUCCAGGUGUAGCGGUGAAAUGCGUAGAUAUCUGGAGGAACACCGGUGGCGAAGGCGGCAUCCUGGACCGGCAUUGACGCUGAGACGCGAAAGCGUGGGGAGCAAACAGG
rnacentral:rRNA from 1 species